GAUGAACGCUCGCGGCGUGCCUAAUACAUGCAAGUCGAGCGGACAGACGAGGAGCUUGCUCCUCUGACGUUAGCGGCUGACGGGUGAGUAACACGUGGAUAACCUACCUAUAAGACUGGGAUAACUUCGGGCAACCGGAGCUAAUCCCGGAUAAUCUCUUGAACCACAAGGUUCAAUAGUGAAAGACGGUUUUGCUGUCACUUUUAGGUGGCUCCGCGCCGCAUUAGCUAGUUGGUAAGGUAACGGCUUCCCAAGGCAACGAUGCGUAACCGACCUGAGAGGGUGAUCGGCCCCACUGGUACUUAGACACGGUCCAGACUCCUACGGGAGGCAGCAGUAGGGAAUCUGCCGCAAUGGGCGAAAGCCUGACGGAGCAACGCCGCGUGAGUGAUGAAGGUCUUCGGAUCGUAAAACUCUGUUAUUAGGGAAGAACAAAUUUGUAAGUAACUAUGCACGUCUUGACGGUACCUAAUCAGAAAGCCACGGCUAACUACGUG
rnacentral:rRNA from 1 species